UGCAAGUCGAGGGGCAGCGCAGUGUAGCAAUACAUGGGCGGCGACCGGCAAACGGGUGCGGAACACGUACACAAGCUUCCUUUAAGUGGGGAAUAGCCCAGGGAAACUUGGAUUAAUACCCCGUAAUAUUAUGGAGUGGCAUCACUUUAUAAUUAUAGCUCCGGCGCUUGAAGAUGGGUGUGCGGCUGAUUAGGUAGUUGGCGGGGUAACGGCCCACCAAGCCUUCGAUCAGUAACUGGUGUGAGAGCACGACCAGUCACACGGGCACUGAGACACGGGCCCGACUCCUACGGGAGGCAGCAGUAAGGAAUAUUGGGCAAUGGACGCAAGUCUGACCCAGCCAUGCCGCGUGGAGGAUGAAGGUCCUCUGGAUUGUAAACUUCUUUUCUCUGGGGCGAAAAAAGGAUAUUCUUAUCCUCCUGACAGUACCAGAGGAAUAAGCACCGGCUAACUCCGUGCCAGCAGCCGCGGUAAUACGGAGGGUGCAAGCGUUAUCCGGAUUCACUGGGUUUAAAGGGUGCGUAGGUGGGCAGGUAAGUCAGCGGUGAAAUCCCCGAGCUUAACUUGGGAACUGCCAUUGAUACUAUCUGUCUUGAAUACCUUGGAGGUGAGCGGAAUAUGUCAUGUAGCGGUGAAAUGCUUAGAUAUGACAUAGAACACCAAUUGCGAAGGCAGCUCACUACACGGUCAUUGACACUGAGGCACGAAAGCGUGGGGAUCAAACAGGAUUAGAUACCCUGGUAGUCCACGCCCUAACGAUGGAUACUCGACAUCAGCGAUACACUGUUGGUGUCUGACGAAAGCAUUAAGUAUCCCACCUGGGAAGUACACCGCAGGUUGAAACUCAAAGGAAUUGGCGGGGGUCCCACAAGCGGUGAGCAUGUGGUUUAAUUC
rnacentral:rRNA from 1 species